UGUCACUUGCUGAUGGAACUAGAAGGCCAGCCUGCCUGGUGUUAGAGAGAGAGCCUUCCCCAUGAAGGUAAGCCGGGCUACAGAAGGUGUAGCAGAUGUGGUAAAUCCUGAUUGGAUGAAGCAAACAUGCACCUCCAUCACCCUUUGCCUGGUUCUGCUUAGACCUGUUCUGGCCGAUGCAAUGGGAGAGGUCUCCUGGGGGCUUCUGGGAAGGGGUUCUAGCUCCUAUAAAAGAGACACAAGGAAAAGACUGACCCCUUUUCACCUCUGGAUGCUGUGUAUAGAUGUUUUCUCAGAGCUGUGGCAGCCAUCUUGAGAUCACGAGGGGGUGACCCUGAGGAUGUCAGUAAGAAAGGAAGAACCUUGAUGCCAUCGCUGGGCUACUGAAUCAACCAGCCCUGGAGCUGCCCUACAUCUGAAUGUCUUGUUAGAGGUGAUGAUCAAUGCCUUCAUCAUUGGAACACUUCUGUGUGGGCUUCCUGGGACUUCCAAUGAAGCCCAGGCCAACUGAUGCCAGGUCUGAUGACUCCAAAUCAUGUCACCUGGAAGUAACAGAUGGCACAGGUGGUUGGUCAGCAGAGUCUGGUUGAAUCCCUUACUGAUUAACCUGUUGUUGCCUGCUUCUUCAAUCUGUGCCCAUAAAUGAGAAGAUCUGCUGUCCUUUUUUUUACAUCCAAAUCACCAUGGCCCAAGAAAGGAAAUGAACUUCUUCACAAGGACUCCCUGGGGAGUUUCGAAAGGCUUUCCCCACAGAAACAGAACAGGAAGCAGUCACUCAUCUCGGUCUCAGACCUUUUCAUGUGAAAGCCACCUGCUCCCUUCCCUCGGUCUCGUGUAUUCCAUGGGGACCAGAGACCGCCUGCUGCAAGAGAUAGUCUUGGGGGAGGAAGGAGCUGGCAGUUGUUCUUAGAAUGGUGCUUAGGGCAGUACUGGUCACAAAAUAAAUCUGGGUAAACAUA